rnacentral:rRNA from 1 species
GGUAAAAUCCGUAGAUAUCACCAAGAAUACCCAUUGCGAAGGCGAUCUGCUGGAACUCAACUGACGCUAAGGCGCGAAAGCGUGGGGAGCAAACAGGAUUAGAUACCCUGGUAGUCCACGCCCUAAACGAUGUACACUAGUUGUUGGGAUGCUAGUCAUCUCAGUAAUGCAGCUAACGCAUUAAGUGUACCGCCUGGGGAGUACGGUCGCAAGAUUAAAACUCAAAGGAAUAGACGGGGACCCGCACAAGCGGUGGAGCAUGUGGUUUAAUUCGAAGAUACGCGAAGAACCUUACCUGGGCUUGAUAUCCUAAGAACCUUAUAGAGAUAUGAGGGUGCUAGCUUGCUAGAACUUAGAGACAGGUGCUGCACGGCUGUCGUCAGCUCGUGUCGUGAGAUGUUGGGUUAAGUCCCGCAACGAGCGCAACCCACGUAUUUAGUUGCUAACGGUUCGGCCGAGCACUCUAAAUAGACUGCCUUCGUAAGGAGGAGGAAGGUGUGGACGACGUCAAGUCAUCAUGGCCCUUAUGCCCAGGGCGACACACGUGCUACAAUGGCAUAUACAAUGAGACGCAAUACCGCGAGGUGGAGCAAAUCUAUAAAAUAUGUCCCAGUUCGGAUUGUUCUCUGCAACUCGAGAGCAUGAAGCCGGAAUCGCUAGUAAUCGUAGAUCAGCCAUGCUACGGUGAAUACGUUCCCGGGUCUUGUACUCACCGCCCGUCACACCAUGGGAGUUGAUUUCACUCGAAGCCGGAAUACUAAACUAGUUACCGUCCACAGUGGAAUCAGCGACUGGGGUGAAGUCGUAACAAGGUAACCGUAGGAGAACCUGCGGUUGGAUCACCUCCUUU